rnacentral:lncRNA from 10 species
UCCUUUACAAUCCCCUGCUGGGAUCUGAGCUCAUUGACCAUAGACAUAUAAUGAUGACAAAGGCCAUGCUGGGGCUGGCUGGACACCUUUGCUGGUGUCCAUCGCCAUGUCUUACUGAGACAGGAAUAGGAGAGGAGGCCUAGGAUAGGCAGAGUCUGGGCAGGCAUGAAAAACUGCUGAAGAGUUUGAGCAGGGGGAGGGGCGAUUGGAUCCGAAUAUUGAAAAAAUAUCAUGGACAAUGGAGUAGAUGGGUAGACGGGCCAGCAGGAAGAGGGGAGAUGCGCUGGGAGACACCACACCGCCCAUCAAGGAGGCCUCACGGCGCUUAGACAAGGAAGUCUUGGGUAGUGAGGGAGAACAAUGGGUAGGUCCAAGACACCCCGAAGCAGUCAAAUCAACGAAAGUUCACGAUGACUUGAACCAGAUUAUGGCCAUGAAGAGAAGGAGGAGACUUCUAAAGGGUGGAGAGGUGGCCGGAGAAGCAAGAGGAAAGCAGGGGCCUUGGCCCUCGGCAGCCGAGGGGAGAUACUGCUGGAAAGUCAUAAUCAAGGCUUGCAAAAUGUGCAUUGGAUUGAGCUGUACCAACAUAGGGCGCAGAAGAUAGGAGGGCUGCAGUGUGAAGGGAAGGCAAGCAAACCAAGAGCCAGAGGCUGCUCUUUCUGAAAGCCACAUGGCGAGGAGGGAAGAGGGAUGAGGCUGUCCCUGGAGGAGUCGUCUUAUGUCCACUUUUUUUUUUUCCUGCUUCUUUUCCUUUUCUCUUUGCUUGUUUAUUUUUCGACGGCCACGCAUUUCUUGUAUUUUCAGGGGAAGAAAAAGUGUUAAAAAUGACUCUCUUGAUAAGCUCCAAACAUUUAAAAGUUGGUGAAUCUACCAAGGCAACUUCAUUAUUUCUGUUGAAGAGCAGAGAGCAGAGGAAUAAUUCCAACUGAUUGGCACACACGACUGGUCGUAAGUCACAUGUUACUCAGAGCCAGAGCCAGGAGUGAAAUCUAGCAUCCUGGAGCCACACGGCUCUCCUGCACGCCUCGCCUCCUCCCCAAAGGAGCUCUGAGGUUUGGACUGCAGGAGGUGGCCACUGCUGAUGUCAUGCUUAUUUCGGAAACCAACGGUGGCCUAUCUUAGUGCCAGAGGGGAAGGCUCUGGGUUCAUUUGGCUGGGUUGCAUAGGCAUUAUUCCAUUAGCAAUCACAUCACUGGGGCCCAGAGAGUUAGGUGCAGCUGAUGAAGAAUGAGUUGUCCUUAAGAUCUGAUUGCUGAUCAUUUGACAGUGUGCCGUGCUUACUCCAUUAAACCUCUUUUUAUCCCCCACAUGUUCUUUGUUUGCUAGAGAAUAUGGGAAGCUAUGAGUUCACUGAUAAUUUCUUUUCUUUUCUCUUCUUUUCUUUUCUUUUUCUUUGAGACGGAGUCUUGCUCUGUCGCCAAGCUGGAGUGCAGUGGUGUGAUCUUGGCUCACUGCAACCUCUGCCUCCUGGGUUCAAGUGAUUCUCCCGCCUCAGCCUCCUGAGUAGCUGGGACUACAGGUGUGCACCACCAUGCCCAGCUAAUUUUUGUAUUUUUAGUAGAGACAGGGUUUCACCAUGUUUGCCAGGAUGGUCUUGAUCUCUUGACCUCGUGAUCCGACCACCUCGGCCUCCCAAAGUGCUGGGAUUACAGGCGUGAGCCACCGCGCCCGGCCUCUUUUUCUUAGAAGAGCAAAUGCAGGGUUCUCCAAGCUGCCCUGUUUGUCUCAGAAUAGAUUAUUAAGCUGGUUAGGGGUUUUACCUAAAUGCAUGCAACUGUACAACAGUUACCCACAGGGACUUUAAGUGUGGUUUUCUCGUUUUCCUUUUCUCUCCUCUUCUGUCUCCCCAUCUUUCCUUAUUUUCCUUUCCUUUAUUUAUAAAGAGGUCAUGACAAAAGAGGACAAUUGAGGCUAAAAGGGGAGGAUAAGAAUGAUUAACCUUUGAAGGGCUUUGCAAGCUAUGUAUAUAGCAGCUAAGUGAGCCACCCGGUUCUGCAACCCUCUGGAAUGGCUUUUCAAACACACGUUGAUAGUUCCCUGACUACCUGUAUUCACCAAUGUCCCUGAAGC